rnacentral:lncRNA from 1 species
AUGCAAGAUAGAUGCACAGUCUACAUGGAAAGUACCAUAUGCUUAGAAAUUAAUUUGAACACACCUGAUAGAACUCCUUGAUGACGUGUGUCAUAUGGAAUCUCGCUUUGGUGUGCUUAGAGACAAUAUUAGUUUCGGUGCAAGAAAUGUGCACGGUUUGCGCCUAAUGCACCAAAGUCUAAGAAACCAUUUUGGAAGCACCUGCUGGUAC